CAGAACGAACGCUGGCGGCAGGCCUAACACAUGCAAGUCGAACGGAUCCUUCGGGAUUAGUGGCAGACGGGUGAGUAACGCGUGGGAAGCUACCUUGUGGUAGGGAACAACAGUUGGAAACGACUGCUAAUACCCUAUGAGCCCUAUGGGGGAAAGAUUUAUCGCCAUGAGAUGUGCCCGCGUUAGAUUAGCUAGUUGGUAAGGUAAUGGCUUACCAAGGCGACGAUCUAUAGCUGGUCUGAGAGGAUGAUCAGCCACACUGGGACUGAGACACGGCCCAGACUCCUACGGGAGGCAGCAGUGGGGAAUAUUGGACAAUGGGGGCAACCCUGAUCCAGCCAUGCCGCGUGAGUGAUGACGGCCUUAGGGUUGUAAAGCUCUUUCAGCAGUGAAGAUAAUGACAUUAACUGCAGAAGAAGCCCCGGCUAACUUCGUGCCAGCAGCCGCGGUAAUACGAAGGGGGCUAGCGUUGUUCGGAAUCACUGGGCGUAAAGCGUACGUAGGCGGACUGAUCAGUCAGGGGUGAAAUCCCGGGGCUCAACCCCGGAACUGCCUUUGAUACUGUCAGUCUUGAGAUCGAGAGAGGUGAGUGGAACUCCGAGUGUAGAGGUGAAAUUCGUAGAUAUUCGGAAGAACACCAGUGGCGAAGGCGGCUCACUGGCUCGAUA
rnacentral:rRNA from 1 species